AUGGAAGCAGCCCUUGUUUGCAGGUUUGAGGAAAAUUUAACGAAGCUCACUCAAUUUUAUAGCCAGAGAGCUAAGAAACAUUGGGCGACAAAAGGAGAUAGGAACACCAGUUUUUUCCAUCAAGCUGUUCUCAAAAGGAGGAGGAAAAACCAAAUAGUUUCCAUCAGGGAUAACAAAAAUAUUACUCAUUUUAACCCAGAUAAAAUUGCGCACAUAUUUGUAGACUAUUUUAAAGAUCUUGGGAGGCCGUACGAUGCAACAACAACAAACAAUGACAGCAGAGAUUGUACCAACACUAUCCCAGAUAAACAGGAGGUUUGGAGCAUUUUGAAGGAAAUGAAGGUCAAUGCAUCCCCAGGACCAGAUGGAUUCAAUGUGGCGUUCUACCUGGCGGCUUGGGAUUGGAUAGGAGAGGAUAUCACCAAUCUGGUA
rnacentral:rRNA from 1 species